rnacentral:rRNA from 1 species
AGAAUCAACGCUGGCGGCGUGCCUAACACAUGCAAGUCGCACGAGAAAGGGUAGCAAUACCUGAGUACAGUGGCGCACGGGUGAGUAACACGUGAAUUAUCUACCUCCGAGUGGGGAAUAACUGAGAGAAAUCUUAGCUAAUACCGCAUAACACUUACGAGUCAAAGCAGCAAUGCGCUUGGAGAGGAGUUCGCGGCAGAUUAGUUAGUUGGCGGGGUAAUGGCCCACCAAGAUGAUGAUCUGUA